CCUUCUUAUUUUGUCACACAAAAUCACCUCAUCCCACACCACAACUAGAUAAAAAUUAUCCUAACUAAUCACUACUUAAGUUUAAAAUCAGUUAGGAUAAGAUUUUAUCAGGUUAGAGUCCAAACAAACCAAGAAAGUGGGUGCCAACAUCCACUUAUUCUUCACGCACGCCAAGAGAAACUUGCGCGAGUUUUCCAUCACCCCUUCUUCUUUUGUUCAAC
rnacentral:lncRNA from 1 species